rnacentral:rRNA from 1 species
UACGGAGGGAGCUAGCGUUGUUCGGAAUUACUGGGCGUAAAGCGCACGUAGGCGGCGAAGUAAGUCAGGGGUGAAAUCCCGGGGCUCAACCCCGGAACUGCCCUUGAAACUGCUUUGCUAGAAUCCUGGAGAGGCGAGUGGAAUUCCGAGUGUAGAGGUGAAAUUCGUAGAUAUUGGGAAGAACACCGGUGGCGAAGGCGGCUAUCUGGACCGACAUUGACGCUGAGGCGCGAAAAGCGGUGGGGAGCAAACGGGG